UCUAGAACCAUUUCGCAUCGAUCUCUUCCGACCACCGGCUUUAUGGGUAUUUACAACUCGCAGGCAAUUCCUCUUUAUAUUAAUGAAGUGCUCGGAGCUUCGAAAUUCGGGACGGAACUUGCUCAAGGCCGCUACCCGCCAGACCGCCGCGAAGAUAGUAAUUAAGCGGCAGAAGUAGCUAGGCGAAAGGAGGCGGGGCGGAGUUCAUGGUUCAUAUUCUAAAACACUAGUGCGCAACACCUCUUCUACUUUCAAGAACUUCUAGCCAAGCUGAAGCUACACGUGUUUUUAAGUUUUUUUUUUUUUCACGGUUCUAGUGACGGAUGAACGAGUUUUCUACAUCAUCAACAGGGGAAACAUUUUGAUAACCCCGGAAAAUCAUCUCUGUGGCCUUGAAAUAUAGUCGUGGUGAGAGAGCAAAGCGUUUCAGAACACCCCAUGUCGAGUGGCGGUAACGUGACACUGGUGGCCGUGUUAACCCAAGCAGCCCCGGGGACCCGCCACCUGUUGCCCGCUGGGGUUGCACACGCCUCUCGGAUUAAGAGGAAAUUGACUUGUAUAUUGUAUUCAUAGCGAGACUGAGCCCCAUGCCGCCCUGGUCCUAGUUGGCGGGGGCGGCGGAGCGUGAGGACCAAACACUGGACACAGGACGCUGCCGCCGCCUUGUUUGUGCAAGGCGCGGAGGAAUAAAGGAGGACGAGUUGGAGUGAGGAGUGUGGCGUGCAUUGUUGGUGAUUCUGACGUUACUGACACCUCGCUGACGCCUCCUGACACCCUUAUUGUGGCACUCUCCGCCGACACUUCCGUUUAGCCAAGGGAAGACGGAUUCACGUGGCACGGCUGACAGGUGUUGUCAUGAAAUCAGAAGUCAUUCAAGAACCAACAGAAAAAAAAAGGAUGGUGUAUUUCAAGUUAUGAUUCUUACAUUUGAUCAUAAGCACAUUCACUAGAACGUGUGAGUAUAGAGUUAUAUGUCCCUGAAGACUUAACAAACACAAAUUCCCACGUUAAAAUCUAAACACAGCAUUAUUAGAAUCAAGAAUUAUGGAGUUUUUUUUCCCCAUUGAAAAGCUAACACACAAAUUCCCGUGUUUAACCCUUUCAGUACCAUGACGCGUUGCUGUAUUCAUUCUGCUUAUUAUUUGGUGAUUUUGUUCAACUUCAGAAACUCAUGUGAAGAAUUAAAAUAGUGAAGACUC